rnacentral:rRNA from 1 species
UAGGGAAUCUUCCACAAUGGACGAAAGUCUGAUGGAGCAACGCCGCGUGGGUGAAGAAGGGUUUCGGCUCGUAAAACUCUGUUGUUAAAGAAGAACAUAUCUGAGAGUAACUGUUCAAGUAUUGACGGUAUUUAACCAGAAAGCCACGGCUAACUACGUGCCAA